GCAUGGGAAUAGUGGGGCAAAGCAGACAGGAGCCUUCUCCAACUGAUGGGCAGUUUCUGGUUUCUCUCCCCAGAGUGCCAAAAUCUGAUUGGGUGGUGUUUAUCCAUGCACCCCUUGGCCAGACCCUCAUUAGAAGAGGUGUUCUGUCAUCCUUGGAUGCAGGAUAUUGAUCUGCCCUAGAAGAAGGGAGAGAGCCACAGGCACACUGUGCUGCAGGGCCCUGGGAAGGAGAAGGAGCCCCCAGAGAAGCUGUACCGGGUGGGGCUGCUGCUGCAGAAGACAGCGAGGAUGACAUGAAGGAUGACAACCUCUUCCUCAACCUGGCCACCAGCAGUUGAAGAGGAAGCAUUCUGGUUGGUCCAGUCUGGAUUGGGAAGUUCUUGAGAGCAACUGCGGCG